rnacentral:rRNA from 1 species
GACGAACGCUGGCGGCGUGCUUAACACAUGCAAGUCGAACGGAAAGGCCCUGCUUUUGUGGGGUGCUCGAGUGGCGAACGGGUGAGUAACACGUGAGUAACCUGCCCUUGACUUUGGGAUAACUUCAGGAAACUGGGGCUAAUACCGGAUAGGAGCUCCUGCUGCAUGGUGGGGGUUGGAAAGUUUCGGCGGUUGGGGAUGGACUCGCGGCUUAUCAGCUUGUUGGUGGGGUAGUGGCUUACCAAGGCUUUGACGGGUAGCCGGCCUGAGAGGGUGACCGGGCACAUUGGGAAGGAGAUACGGCCCAGACCCCGACGGGAGGGAGGAGGGGGGAAUAUUGCACAAUGGGCGGAAGCCUGAUGCAGCAACGCCGCGUGGGGGAUGACGGCCUUCGGGGUGGAAACCGCUUUCGCCUGGGACGAAGCGGGAGUGACGGUAAUGGGGAAAGAAGCACCGGCGAACUACGU